rnacentral:rRNA from 1 species
GACCCGUCUUGAACCACGGAGUCUAGCAUGUGCGCAAGUCAUUGGGAAUAAAAUAUUUUUUCAUUGAAAUAUUAAUAAAUUUUAUGAAACCCAAAGGCGAAAUGAAAGUAAAAUAAUUUUUUAUUUGGAAAUUUYUUUUUUAUUUAUGAAUACAAAAAUUUGAGGGAGGAUAUAUUUUAAUUAUGUAUUGAAUAUCGCACUCCCAGGGCAUCUUAUAUUAUUCUUAUAAUUAUUUUAUAAUUUUUAUUAUGAAUAAAGGCGCACCUAGAGCGUACACGCUGGGACCCGAAAGAUGGUGAACUAUGCCUGGUCAGGACGAAGUCAGGGGAAACCCUGAUGGAGGUCCGUAGCGAUUCUGACGUGCAAAUCGAUCGUCGGAACUGGGUAUAGGGGCGAAAGACUAAUCGAACCAUCUAGUAGCUGGUUCCUUCCGA